CUACCGAACCAAACAGAUUUCAAGAUUUGGAGAAAUUUCACGAUUUCCAGAGUUUUCUAGAUUUCAAGAGAUUUCAACAUUUCAAGAUAUCAGUACAGACCGAGAGAACCAAAAAUGUUUCGCCUGCGAUCGACAAAGAAAACCCGUGAGCAGGAGGUGGUGGCAGAUGAGACGCUCUCCAGCUCUCAGAGCAACCCCUCGUCAGACGGCCAAACGCCAACCAGACUGGCCAAGAAAACACCUUGGUGGCGACGGCUUUUGAAAUGCUGCAAGAGAAAGAAUCUGGUCGCUCCGGCUCCCGACCCUGAAAGACAGAGGACACCUCAAGAAAG